GGGAGGGUCUUUGGAGCUGCAGAAACAACUGCAGGCAGAAAUGUAGAAAAACGAAUGUUCAGCAUUUAAUCAUUUCACAUAAAGAGCAAUAAGCAGAGAAAUGUCCAUAUUCCCAACCAGUUUCCAUCCUAACAAUCGUUCCCCCCUCACAGCUCCCCUCCUCGGGGCCAACACGAAGCAGCUCCGUGUCGGCUUCACGCGGCUCCGGGAGCUCCGCACGGGGACAGACCGGGAUAAGGAAAACGGGAGUUGGGGACUCCACCUGCGGGGCAGGAGCUCAGCACGCGCUGCUGCUGAUUUGAGCCAAGCAAGAACCGAAGGCGCCCGCCUGACUCUCUGCCAGGCUUGAACACGUCUCGACCCGCGGGAUCAGUCCCUCUCUUUCGGGGCUGCUCGGCUCAGCCAGGAGCUGCUCCCAGAGGCCGGGCGGGUCCCGCUGCUUGUGGUCAGCCGCCGCUUCUCACAGCCCAGCAGUACCCCACUGCAAUGACGGAGGACGGCUCAGUUCCCUCUCCGGAGGACAGACUGGAUUCUGAUGGGGGACGGACGGGGCCGACGGCGGUGCCCCUGCGCCGCCUUCCCCUGACCGCCCGGCAUCCCCGAGGCACGGGGCAGGCGGCGGCGGGGACGUGGAGCAGCGGAGCACCGCUUUCCCGCACGGAACCCCGCAGCUCCACCAUCGCGCCGGCGCCAUCAUGGCGGCUCCGGGUCCGCGGCCGCCCCUCCUGCUCCGCGCUCCCAUUGGUCGGUCCGCCGAGGGGGGCGGGCACUCCGCGCGGGGGCCUUUCCCUCCGUCGUCGCACCGUCAUUGCGUCAUCACCGCGCACAUCCCGGAUGGCCCCGGCCCGGCUGUCCGCGGCGCUGCCCGCCGCCAUGUGCCUGCUUCGCUUCCACGGCCCCGGGGCGGCCGGGCCCCGGCUGGGGCUGGAGGAGGAGGAGGAGGAGGAGGAGGAGGAGGGGGAGGAGGAGGAGAAGGAGAAGGAGAAGGAAGGAGAGGAGAAGGAGGGCGGGGAUGUGGUGGACCUCAGCGAGACCGAGCCCGCCCUGCCCCGCUCCAUGCGGGCCUUCCUGGAGAGCGGCGAGCUGUUGGCUGCCCUUUUUGAUGUAUAUGGAGGCAUUGCUAAGGAGGACAUAACAGACAGCAUUAAAUCCGAGGUGUCAGGAGACCUGGAAGAUGCUUUGCUGGCUGUGGGCCUGGGAACAGAUGGCAACACUCUGAUCAGAGUGGUGGUGUUCCGCUUCAAGAUAGAUAUGCUGGAUAUCGGAAGAGAACUCCUGACUAUGUAUGGGAAGUCUCUCUACUCCUUCAUUAAGGGAGACUGCUCAGGAGACUACAGGAACGUUCUGCUGAAGCUCUGUGGCAGUGAGGAUUGAAGGAUUCCUGGUGUACGUCCCGCGUUAUGGGAAGGAGGGGAUCAUAAGGAUUUCUCUCAGGUGUUUGUAACUGUUGGUGAAUAACGCUCUGAAGGCAUCACAGACUGCCUGCUUGUCUCUGCAGUGCUCGGGGCUUUUCUGAGCUGCAGGCUCGCUGUCGCCCUGUGGCAUAGCCUUGCAUCUGGUGACGGACUGAAGCUGGAGAAUCCUGGCAGCAGAGGACGCUCCUGCCCCACAGAAGGGCUCACAGCUCCACCGCAGCUCCACCGACCUCAGUGCUGGUGAGGAGGCUGAGAUGCCUCCAAGUGAUGAAUGCAGUGCACCCAACCUUACACCUCGUGUGGUUCACUGUGCGAGGCGACCAGGAAGAAAGGUGGGCACAGGUAAUACUGCAUCAAAAGCAACUGCAGAGCUCUCGGGCUGGUAGUCCAGGGUGUGGGGGCCCAGGUGGUGCUGUGGGACAGGUGUGAAAGGAGGGCACUGGUGGUGCGUGCCAGUCCUUGGCUGCAGGACUGGUGCUGGUGGCAGGGCCUUGGGUUCUGUGUCUGCAGGACCUCUUUGCAGAUUGGUGUCUGCUUGGAAGGGAUGGGACCCACCUACCUAAGAGAGGUGAGGAUAUUUUCAUCAGUAGGAUGGCAGCUUCACAAGGGAGGCUUUAACCUAAGAAUGGUGAGGGCUUUUGAUCACAGGGAUGGGGUGAUGUGAGGGAGAGGGACCAGAAAAUCAGCACUUGCAGGGUUGCAAGGAAAUGCCUGAAGGCACUGCUAUGGGGAGAUCCCCCAAAGCUCCAGAGGAGGUUGUGGUGGGUAACGGGGGGAGGCUGCUUGGAUUUGUGCAGAGGGAGAGCUGGAGAGAGAAAUAGAUGGACAGAGGGAUCAACAGAGGAGAGAACUGUUAGAUGGAUGGAUGGAUGGAUGGAUGGAUGGAUGGAUGGAUGGAUGGAUGGAUGGAUGGAUGGAUGGAAAAACGGAUUGAAGGAUCAUUGGAUUGUUGGAUGAAAGGGUGGAUGUAAAUACAGGUGGGUGGAGAGAUCAACAGGAAAAUAUGAUUUCUGCCUCAAAGACCAGUGUGCCCCCAGGCCCCACUCCCUCCAUGGGAACCAGUGGCGGUGGCCCUGCGGGUACAGAACCCACGUCCCAUUGGCUGGAGCCACUCUCUUGGCUGCUACAGAACCCAGAACCUUUGGAGGAGGCUCAGUUCCAUGGCUCUGGCAUGGGGAGUGCUGGAUCCCUGGAUCCUCUGUCCAUUUGGGAUGGGGUGAUGGGGUCUGUGGUGCAGGAUGGAUCUUGGGUAUGGUGGUCUGUUGCCCCCUUUUAGUGGGAUGUGGGGUGAGAGAAGUCCUUGCCGUAUGAGUCCCUUUCUUACAGGAGGGAUUGGGCUCUAUGGAGUAGAAUGGGUCAGUGAGGUCCGUUGCCCACCUAUCAGGUUUACGGGGUCCAGUGGGGCAGGGAGGGGUCCCAAACCCCUCAGUUGGAUGCCCUGUUUAAGGUGGGAAGGAGGAUAAUGAGGUAAAGUGGGGCAGAGGGAGGGCCCCCUCCUUGCCCCUCCCCUUCAUUGCUGUGAUGUCAGUGGGGUAACAGCAGUUCUCAGGGUAACUGUCCCAACCCCAAACCAUCCUAGACUUCUCUCUGAUCAGCUGUGAAGAUGGUGCCUUGUGGCCUUGUUCCCAUCUGGGAUGGAUCGUUCUACAAUGCUGUGUGUCCCAUUGGGCCAAAAGUACUGGUUUGGUGCUGAAAUCCAACUCCAUUCCUCACCAGCUGUAUUCCCAAGGAAUCCUCCUUCCCCAUCCUCCCCAAGCUCCCAACUUCUAUCUCCAACUGAUGUGCAGGAAUCAAACUCUAUAACCACAGAGUAGUUAUAAAGCAGGUAUGUUUAAUCAGCGCUGCACACACGCUGGAUGCAGAGGGGGUAUUCCCACCUAGCCUGCAUACUGGAGGGCAAGCAAGGCACAUACUUAAAGAACAAGCUGCUUACAUAUGCAUUAGGAUAAGGAUAGGAUAAGGGGGAAUAUGUGGAGUCAUUCAUGCAUCUACUUACAAGUUGGGUCAUCCCAUUAUGUGCUCCAAAUACAAGGUUGAAUUUUGGUCCUAAAAUAAUAGUGCCGUUAGCAGCAGCUUCCUCACCUUCCCCUAAGCAAAUGGGCUCCCUCUGACCGCUUUUAUAUUUGUGCUGAGCAGGUCAAUUUAGUGACGGGACCCCAAAGCAUGGUACGUCCAUCCCUGCCUGUGGUAGUCAUGUGCAGAUCCAGCAAUCAGAGAAGUUUGAAGUCUUAGCACAGUUACUAAUUACACUGUAAAAGGAGCUCUCUUCCCAGGCCAGAACACCUCCUGCGUACAUUGAGAUAAAGCAAAUUAGUAACCAGCUCAUCUUGUCUUGAUGAGUUUAACUUUUGACGGUGCACUUUCCUUGGCAGACCCCGGCAUCUUGGAAUAACCUCCUGCAACAAUACUUACCUCACAUGCCUUAUUAGUCCUACAAGGGAAUGCCUCCAGCCACCCUAAAAAGCUAUCAGGACCAACAUACAGCAGUAUACCCCCCCCCCCCCCCCCCCCCCCCCCCCCCCCCCCCCCGCCUUUUCUUGGGAGUUCUGAGAAAUCAAUUUGCCAUUGUUGCCCUGGCAGGUUCCCUUUCCCAGUAGGCCCACUUGUACCCUGUUCCUGGUACUAGGAUUGUACUUGGUAGUCUCUGUUCCCGCAGUAUGUUUUCUUAUCUUCCCUUAGAACCAAUUUCCAUACAAUACUAACGGGCACAACAAUGUGUCCAUCUGGGCGUGAACCCAUCUGUCAGCUUGCUCUCUUCCCUUCUAAACCACUAAUUAGAUUCCUAUCCUCCGUAGGAUAUUUUACAGGUUCUGACUCAGGUUCAGAGAUUUUAAGUUUACCGUCUGGAAUUAAAGCCUUCUUCAACUGCCUGUUCUGCCACCUGAUCCGCCAUCUUAUCUCCAGUUUCCUGUACAGUGCUACCUUUCUGGUGUCCUUUACAGAGUAUAAUAGCCAUGCUCUUUGGUAAAGAGACAGACAUAUCACAUCUCAGAAAUGGCUUUACUUCAGUGGCCUUAAAUGGUCCCUCUGUGAUCAUUAUUUUCUUAUUGAAUCGCUGUCAGACACAGCUGGUGGAUUUUUGUAUGUGCAGUUUGGAGUUCCUGGCUAAAAUGAACCACAUGAAUACAGAUUACGGAUAUUCUUAUCUCAGCACACUUUUGAGAUGGAGCAUUCAAAUUACAAGACCUUCAGUCUGCUGUUUUAAUCUGACCCAGAAGGAAAACUUCACUACAGUUCGUUUCCUUGAUUCCCGUGCAAUUUUAUUUUGGAACUGAAGCUCAAUCGAAUUUAAACAACUUUUUUGAAAGUCUGUAAUGAAAGUUGCAUUUUUGCUUACACGUAGCCACUUUGACCCACGGUGAAUGAAAGUCAUAAAGCAGGGUAUAAAGGGAGUUUCUAAAUUGCCUGUUGUUGAGUCCAUUGAAGGCAACAGGAGAGUCCAGAAUGUGACCUUUGAGAGCAAAUUUGCCUCUGCUUCUUACUGAAUUUUGUGUUGCGUUUUUCUGUAUAUAUAUUUCUUUUGACUCAGAAAUACAAAUUAUAAUGAAGGUGAGGCACUUCACAAUA